UAAAUCGGGUCAUAAAUGCAGCUCAUUUGCAUGUGUAGAGUAGAUAAGGAAGUUGUUCCCGUUGAUUCCCUCAGGUUUCCAGUCAAGGCACGUUGAGGAAAACAUAGCCGAACACCCUCACCAAUUUCACUGCAUCUGAUCAAGAGGCCACUGGAGGCGAAGACAUGGCAGAUCAGGAAGACUUUUC